UGACACAUUUUUUAAAUAAAAUAAAUAUCUGCCCAGACUUGUCUUUUACACAAUUUCUGUUCUAUUACAGUAACAGCCCUUUUCUGGCGUGUUGGUCUGGUUGUCGUGGAUGUUAAUGUCUUUAAUAAACAGGAAGGACAGUUCUGCAUCCACUACUUGUGUUCUGACUGCUUUUAUAAGGUUUCAACACUUACUUCUUGUUUUCACUCACUACCAGACAGUUGACUCACUGUACAAGACCUCUCCUCUUCACUUCACUCUACUGCAGGGUGGGAGAUGCAACAAUGUCCUUGAGAACAGCAGGAAGUGUGUUGGUGGUCUUUCUCUGGUCUGUGACAGUGGUACUGGGUCAGGAUAUCUGGAGUGUUACAUACACCACUCAGAGUAUCUGUACCUUGAAGGGGUCAACAGUGGAGAUGUCCUGCUCUUACACAUAUCCCAGUGGUACAGUCACAACAACCUUGUGGUUCACUGAAAUGUAUGAUGUGGAAAAUUAUGUCAGUCUGUUAGAUGACCCAGACUACAAAGGUCGUGUGAUGUACCGUAGUGAUAAGAUGAAUGGACACACCCUGACAAUCACAGACCUGAGAGAGAGAGACUCAGCUACGUACAAAUUCAGAUUUAUAACAAAUCAGACCAGAGGGAAAUAUUUUGGGAGCCCUGGAGUCACUUUGUCUGUUACAGACCUGCAGGUGAAGGUGACCACU